CGGCGCACGGGUGCGUAACGCGUAUGCAACCUGCCUUAUACAAAGGGAUAGCCCAUGGAAACGUGGAUUAAUAUCUUAUAGGACUUGUGAAUCGCAUGGUUUACAAGUUAAAACUACGGUGGUAUAAGAUGGGCAUGCGUCUGAUUAGGUAGUUGGUAGGGUAACGGCCUACCAAGCCGACGAUCAGUAGGGGUUCUGAGAGGAUUACCCCCCACACUGGUACUGAGACACAGACCAGACUCCUACGGGAGGCAGCAGUGAGGAAUAUUGGUCAUUGGGCGAGAGCCUGAACCAGCCAUCCCGCGUGCAGGAUGACGGCCCUAUGGGUUGUAAACUGCUUUUCUACCCCAAGAAAUCCUGUUACGUGUAACAGGUUGACGGUAGGGUAGGAAUAAGCAUCGGCUAACUCCGUGCCAGCAGCCGCGGUAAUACGGAGGAUGCAAGCGUUAUCCGGAUUCAUUGGGUUUAAAGGGUGCGCAGGUGGGAAUGUAAGUCAGUGGUGAAAUACUGCCGCUUAACGGUAGAGCUGCCACUGAUACUGCGUUUCUUGAGUAUGGUUGAGGUAGGUGGAAUGUGUUGUGUAGCGGUGAAAUGCAUAGAUAUGACACAGAACGCCGAUUGCGAAGGCAACUUACUAAGCCAUUACUGACGCUGAGGCACGAAAGCGUGGGUAGCGAACAGGAUUAGAUACCCUGGUAGUCCACGCUGUAAACGAUGUUCACUCGCUGUUUGCGAUGCACAGUAAGCGGCUGAGCGAAAGCAUUAAGUGAACCACCUGGGGAGUACGAUCGCAAGGUUGAAACUCAAAGGAAUUGACGGGGGCCCGCACAAGCGGAGGAACAUGUGGUUUAAUUCGAUGAUACGCGAGGAACCUUACCUGGGCUUAAAUGUAGAUUGCAUGGAU
rnacentral:rRNA from 1 species